rnacentral:lncRNA from 12 species
AGAACAUCAAAAUUCAUAAACAGAUGAGCUGUUGCACCCUUUUACCAGGACACCAGGGACCAGCUGCUUCUGCUGCGUAAGAGAGGCAUUUGAUGACCAUCAAUGGACCCUUGCUGAAAAAAGAAUGCCAUUCACUUUGGUUUUUG